UCCAGCUUAAACGCCGGCAGUCUAGUAUGAAAAUCAACAUACUACGGGGGUUGCGCUCGUUCUCCCACUUAAGGGAACAUCUCACGACACGAGCUGACGACAACCGUGCAGUACCUGUUGCACACUCUCGAAGAUCACACGUUUCCGUGCGCUUGCAGUGCAAUGUCAAACCCUGGUAAGGUUCCUCGCUUACCGUCGAAUUAAACCACAUGCUCCACCGCUUGUGCGGGUCCCCGUCAAUUCCUUUGAGUUUUAGUCUUGCGACCGUACUCCCCAGGCGGAAUACUUAACGCGUUAGCUACGGCUCGCACGAGGGUCGAUACUCGCGCAUGCCUAGUAUUCAUCGUUUACAGCGUGGACUA
rnacentral:misc_RNA from 1 species